rnacentral:rRNA from 1 species
CGUACACUCCUACGGGAGGCAGCAGUGGGGAAUAUUGGACAAUGGGCGCAAGCCUGAUCCAGCCAUGCCGCGUGAGUGAUGAAGGCCCUAGGGUUGUAAAGCUCUUUCACCGGUGAAGAUAAUGACGGUAACCGGAGAAGAAGCCCCGGCUAACUUCGUGCCAGCAGCCGCGGUAAUACGAAGGGGGCUAGCGUUGUUCGGAUUUACUGGGCGUAAAGCGCACGUAGGCGGACUAUUAAGUCAGGGGUGAAAUCCCGGGGCUCAACCCCGGAACUGCCUUUGAUACUGGUAGUCUUGAGUUCGAGAGAGGUGAGUGGAAUUCCGAGUGUAGAGGUGAAAUUCGUAGAUAUUCGGAGGAACACCAGUGGCGAAGGCGGCUCACUGGCUCGAUACUGACGCUGAGGUGCGAAAGCGUGGGGAGCAAACAGGAUUAGAAACCCGUGUAGUCCCA